rnacentral:lncRNA from 1 species
UUUCUGUAAUACCAAGCUUUAUGUGUUUUCCACAGAGUGUCAGAAAAAUCAUAAGCACAAACUGCAGCUGGUGCUUCUGUGGCCAGUGAGGAUCAGUGGGAGCAAAUGAGGUGCUCCCCACACUGCUUGGCUUUUGGAGGCACUGGCUGUGCCUGUCCUUCUCUGCCCUUUGGGGACAAAACUGGUGUAAUGAUUGCACUCGGAUUCCUUCAGGCUCCAAACCAGACAAGAGAUAGGAACCAGGAAUCCUUUUCAGAGUCGUGUUUUAACAAAGGAUAUUCCUCUUGUUUUUCCAGACACGCAACUUACAAUAUUUGGAGUUGUUCAGGAGGUCUCCUGCUCCCUCUGAGGGUGGUGGCAGGUAUCAGUGAGCACAGCUGCUUGGGCACUGCCUGCAGGUCUCUGGGGGCAGAGGAGUCUCAGCAGGUGGGUUUCCCUGCUCAGCUCAGAGUGAAGAAAAAGGAGGAAUAA